rnacentral:rRNA from 1 species
UACGUAGGGUGCAAGCGUUGUCCGGAAUUAUUGGGCGUAAAGAGCUCGUAGGCGGUUCGUCGCGUCGGCUGUGAAAACCCGGAGCUCAACUCCGGGCCUGCAGUCGAUACGGGCGGACUUGAGUGUUGCAGGGGAGACUGGAAUUCCUGGUGUAGAGGUGAAAUUCGUAGAUAUCAAGCGGAACACCGGUGGCGAAGGCGGCCUUCUGGACAGUGACUGACGCUGAGACGCGAAAGCGUGGGGAGCAAACAGG